rnacentral:rRNA from 1 species
UACGUAGGGUGCGAGCGUUAAUCGGAAUUACUGGGCGUAAAGCGUGCGUAGGUGGUUCGUUAAGUCUGAUGUGAAAGCCCUGGGCUCAACCUGGGAAUGGCAUUGGAAACUGGCGACCUAGAGUGCGGUAGAGGGCAGUGGAAUUCCCGGUGUAGCAGUGAAAUGCGUAGAGAUCGGGAGGAACAUCUGUGGCGAAGGCGACUGCCUGGACCAGCACUGACACUGAGGCACGAAAGCGUGGGGAGCAAACAGG